UGCGUAGGGUGCGAGCGUUAAUCGGAAUUACUGGGCGUAAAGCGUGCGUAGGCGGUCCGCGAAGUCUGAUGUGAAAGCCCCGGGCUCAACCUGGGAACUGCAUUGGAAACUAACGGGCUCGAGUGUGGCAGAGGGGGGUGGAAUUCCACGUGUAGCAGUGAAAUGCGUAGAGAUGUGGAGGAACACCGAUGGCGAAGGCAGCCCCCUGGGCUAACACUGACGCUCAGGCACGAAAGCGUGGGGAGCAAACAGG
rnacentral:rRNA from 1 species